rnacentral:rRNA from 1 species
AUGAACGCUGGCGGCGUGCCUAAUACAUGCAAGUCGAGCGAACAGACGAGGAGCUUGCUCCUCUGACGUUAGCGGCGGACGGGUGAGUAACACGUGGAUAACCUACCUAUAAGACUGGGAUAACUUCGGGAAACCGGAGCUAAUACCGGAUAAUAUAUUGAACCGCAUGGUUCAAUAGUGAAAGACGGUUUUGCUGUCACUUAUAGAUGGAUCCACGCCGCAUUAGCUAGUUGGUAAGGUAACGGCUUACCAAGGCGACGAUGCGUAGCCGACCUGAGAGGGUGAUCGGCCACACUGGAACUGAGACACGGUCCAGACUCCUACGGGAGGCAGCAGUAGGGAAUCUUCCGCAAUGGGCGAAAGCCUGACGGAGCAACGCCGCGUGAGUGAUGAAGGUCUUCGGAUCGUAAAACUCUGUUAUUAGGGAAGAACAAAUGUGUAAGUAACUAUGCACGUCUUGACGGUACCUAAUCAGAAAGCCACGGCUAACUACGUG